rnacentral:rRNA from 1 species
AAAGGAAAAAUUACUGUCUGACGGGGGAAGGAGAUCCUGCUCAAGGCUGUGAUCCAAGCCAUACCUACCUAUGCAAUGUUGGUCUUUAAAAUUAAAAAUUGUAAAUGAAUCAUUGACGCGAUAACGCAUUUCUGGUGGAGAGACGAGGAGAACAAGAGGAGGAUGCAUUGGAUGGCCUGGUGGAAAAUGUGCGUACCAAAAAACCAAGGAGGGAUGAGAUUCCGUGAUAUCUACUGUUUCAACCUGGCUUUGCUCGCCAAAUAGGCAUGGCGUCUUCUUGAUUACCCUGAUUCCUCGUGUAAAUGA